GUAGUUAUGGCCGAGUGGUUAGGCGUUUGACCAGAAUUCAAAUGGGAUUUUCCCGCGCAGGUUCGAAUCCUGCUCACGGCG
rnacentral:tRNA from 1 species